rnacentral:rRNA from 1 species
AGCAGUCGCCACGGGAAUACAGAGGGUGCGAGCGUUAAUCGGAUUUACUGGGCGUAAAGCGUGCGUAGGCGGCUUCUUAAGUCGGAUGUGAAAUCCCUGAGCUUAACUUAGGAAUUGCAUUCGAUACUGGGAAGCUAGAGUAUGGGAGAGGAUGGUAGAAUUCCAGGUGUAGCGGUGAAAUGCGUAGAGAUCUGGAGGAAUACCGAUGGCGAAGGCAGCCAUCUGGCCUAAUACUGACGCUGAGGCACGAAAGCGUGGGGAGCAAACAGGAUUAGAUACCCCGGUAGUCCCUGUCUCUUAUAC